AGUUCACUAGAUCUAUGCACUUCCGGAAAGAUGGCGGCAAAUUCUAAUGUUUCGAACGAACUGCAUUGCCUUAUCAAUCAGUGAUUGUGAUGCUGUUUAAUUAUUGGUUAGGCUACUGAAAGACUGACAAGUUGAUCAGUUGGUUAGGUCGAACCAUCAGGUGCUCCUUUAUGGUGAAGCACAGUUCCUUCAAGGCAGUAGGAACAGCCUUUUACUUUUAGCUCCAUGCAGUCUAUCGAGGCACUGGGUCAGCUACGAGCAGCGAGGGCUGGCAGACAGAAGGAGAGGGCCCAGUGUGAGGAGAUCAAGAGGCAGCUGGAGAAAAUAGUGGCUCUGAGGCGGGAGAAGGAAGAGCUGUGCGACCAUCUGCAGCGUCUGACGGAGGGAGACAGGAACGGGGGCCCGCUGGACACGUCUCAGGAUGCAUCUGUCUCCGAGUCGAGGAGUGCAUUGCGGGACCUGAAGGAGAAGAUUGCUGCCUGCAGAGUGAUGGGGCCGUGUGGUUUGACCGUCCUUGAGGUGGACUGGGACUGUCUGGUUGUUUCCUUCACAGGACUGUGGAAGAGUGUGGCCCAAAGCUUUGUGCUCAACAUUGCCUCCACUGACGGCCGCUACAAGGUGCGGGCCACGACUGUCCCGUACUUCAUCGACGUCCAUGCCAUGCUGGAGAAGACCAAGACCCCGGAGUGGAGCUCUGUCAUGGACGACAUCGCCCGACUGCUGUCUGCAUACGUGCAGCGCAAAGGAGAGCUGGAGGAGGUCAAGGCUAAGUACAAAGAUAUUUUGAGGGCUUGCUGUGUCAACGACGCGGUCACUUCCCUGGAGCUCUCCCUACUUCUAGCCGGGGAGGGACGGGACGCCUCGCAUGCUGGCUCACAGUCGCACGCUGCAUCACGGGAGGCCUGUGUCUAUCUCACCUAUCCUGACCUCAAGGCCACACAGCCGGCGCAGGCAGAGUUUACCGCAGAUGAGAGCGUCAUCCCGCCGUCACGGCAGCAACAACUGAGGGAACAGUUUCUCACCCAACCCCUGGCUGUGGCCUUGCUCAGUGUCGUGUCGGAGCGACCCGCGGCGCAGGAAGUGCACGAUGCUGGCGGGGAGUCUGAGCACGUGUGAUGGGUGACUGGUGAAACAUUUCUUUGUAUUAUGUGACUGUAGGGUGACUGGUGAAACAUUUCUUUGUAUUGUGUGACUGUAGGGUGAUGGGUGACUGGUGAAACAUUUCUUUGUAUUGUGUGACAGAAGGGUGACUGGUGAAACAUUUCUUUGUAUUAUGUAACUGUAGGGUGAUGGGUGACUGGUGAAACAUUUCUUUGUAUUGUGUGACUGUAGGGUGACUGGUGAAACAUUUCUUUGUAUUGUGUGACUGUAGGGUGAUGGGUGACUGGUGAAACAUUUCUUUGUAUCGUGUGACUGUAGGGUGAUGGGUGACUGGUGAAACAUUUCUUUGUAUUGUGUGACUGUAGGGUAAUGGGUGACUGCUUGCAGGUUGAUUGUCGGAGACAAUUGGAGGAUCUGGUACAACGUCCGCUGCUGCAGUCCAGCUCUCACGUUGUGACACAUAGCCCACAGGUUCUCAGGUCCUCAAUAUUUUCUUACACGAUAUUAUUCUUUGUUUGUCAAACAUGUACACAUGUGUGUUCUUUGUAUUUCAAACAUGUAAGUGUGUUCUUUGUAUUUCAAACAUGUAAGUGUGUACUUUGUAUUUCAAACAUGUAAGUGUGUACUUUGUAUUUCAAACAUGUACAUCAGGAAAUUUGUACAUAAUGAGAUCUCCAUGUCCCGCUGACUUGACUGUGUGCUGAGGGUGAGUGAGAGAGUGAGUGAGUGAGUGAGAGAAAUCUUGUUCAAGUAAUGGUGGAGCAACGGAGAAAUUGUUCAAAUAAUAGUGGAGACAGUGAGAAUUUGUGAAGUGACUGAGAUGUAGUGAGAUGUUUUCACAAGCCCUUUGGUGUAUAUCUGCUUGCGUCUUGAAAAUAAAAGACAUGAAAUAAA
rnacentral:misc_RNA from 1 species